GAUGAAGAACGUAGCGAAAUGCGAUAAGUAAUGUGAAUUGCAGAAUUCAGUGAAUCAUCGAAUCUUUGAACGCACAUUGCGCCCCCUGGUAUUCCGGGGGGCAUGCCUGUCCGAGCGUCAUUACAACCCUCAAGCUCAGCUUGGUAUUGGGCCCCGCCGACCCGGCGGGCCCUAAAGUCAGUGGCGGUGCCGUCCGGCUCCGAGCGUAGUAAUUCUUCUCGCUCUGGAGGUCCGGUCAUGUGCUCGCCAGCAACCCCCAAUUUUUUUCAGGUUGACCUCGGAUCAGGUAGGGAUACCCGCUGAACUUAAGCAUAUCAAUAAGCGGAGGA
rnacentral:misc_RNA from 1 species